GGGUUGCUAACUCAACGGUAGAGUACUCGGCUUUUAAAGCUCCGGGUUCGAAUCCCGGGCAACCCA
rnacentral:tRNA from 1 species